rnacentral:rRNA from 1 species
GACGAACGCUGGCGGCGUGCUUAACACAUGCAAGUCGAACGGAAAGGCCCUGCUUUUGUUGGGUGCUCGAGUGGCGAACGGGUGAGUAACACGUGAGUAACCUGCCCUUGACUUUGGGAUAACUUCAGGAAACUGGGGCUAAUACCGGAUAGGAGCUCCUGCUGCAUGGUGAGGGUUGGAAAGUUUCGGCGGUUGGGGAUGGACUCGCGGCUUAUCAGCUUGUUGGUGGGGUAGUGGCUUACCAAGGCUUUGACGGGUAGCCGGCCUGAGCGGGUGACCGGCCACAUUGGGACUGAGAUACGGCCCAGACUCCUACGGGAGGCAGCAGUGGGGAAUAUUGCAAAAUGGGCGGAAGCCUGAUGCAGCAACGCCGCGUGCGGGAUGACGGCCUUCGGGUUGUAAACCGCUUUCGCCUGUGACGAAGCGUGAGUGACGGUAAUGGGUAAAGAAGCACCGGCUAACUACGUG